CCUAAUGAACACAGCUUGUGGAGGUGGAAUUCCCAGCCUGUGAUGAAGUUUGGGAUGCAAGCUGGAGAUUUUCUCUUGUCCACCAACAUUUUGUAGUCUGGCAACAACUACGCAAAGGUUGCCCUCUUGUUCAAAUUCAUGAACACAGGGAUGGUGAACAGGAACACUUUCUUCUCCAUUCAGGACACUUACUGCGUCAAUACAAUAAAGGACUUCUGGGAAGAGAGAAGGACAGAGGUCCUUUGUGGCCUUCAAGGGAAAGAUGAUGUUGUCCUAGAAAUGACUCUCCUGGUCACUGUGCACAAUACUGCAGCUACACCACCAUGGAGAAUGACACCAAGGAGAUCAUUCAUGUUGCCACCAUAGACAAGUGGCAAACAUCAUGGAACUCUGUCGUCAUGGAGAAGGAGGGUUUCAUCCAGACUGGACAAGCUUACAUCAGAAAUAAAGCUAGUGGAGAUCUGCACUGAUGCUCAUGCCCAGAUUGGUGCCCUUAUGAACCCAGACAAAGGCAAAUACAAGGCCCUUGGAAUUCAUCACAGUCUGGACAUAUGGCAUGGUGUGAAGAACCUUGCCAAAAAAAUAGCAGCAGUAAGUGUAAUAACUGGCUAAUGUUGUGAAACCAUCACUCUAGGUAGGUCCUCUGCCUCUCCUUGCCCUGACUGCACCUCCAACACCUCUGCCUCUCCGCCCUCUUCCUCUCCCUCUCUCUCUUACAGUUAUCUCCGGUAAAUGGACUUCUGCAUUUAGAUCACAUUGACAUGUGCUGGUUCUGUCUAACAUUAGCUUCUUCUUCCUUCUUCUUCCUUGUGCUUUUAUUGUCAGUUGGCAAACAACUAAUUGGUGCGUUACCGCCACCAACUGGUAUGGAGUGUGUAUCAAACCUUUAUACAUCUCUGAUCAUGCAGAGAAAUACUUCUGUGAGUGAUUAGUUGGACUUAGUGGGUGGGCCACAACACAGUGAUUGACAGUUAAGGAAGAGGAAGGGAAAAGCAAUGACAAUAGGUCUCUAAGGGAAAAGCAAUGACAAUAGGUCUCCUUGGG